rnacentral:rRNA from 1 species
AUUGAACGCUGGCGGCAGGCCUAACACAUGCAAGUCGAACGAGUGGCGGACGGGUGAGUAAUGUCUGGGAAACUGCCUGAUGGAGGGGGAUAACUACUGGAAACGGUAGCUAAUACCGCAUAACAUCAGAUAUGCCCAGAUGGGAUUAGCUUGUUGGUGGGGUAAAGGCUCACCAAGGCCACGCUCCCUAGCUGGUCUGAGAGGAUGACCAGCCAAACUGGGACUGAGAAAAGGUCCAGAAUCCUACGGGAGGCAGCAGUGGGGAAUAAGUGAAAAAGGGCGCAAGCCUGAUGCAGCCAUGCCGCGUGUAUGAAGAAGGCUCUCGGGUUGUAAAGUACUUUCAGGGGGGAGGCGUUACCCGCAGAAGAAGCAACGGCUAACUCCGUGCCAGCAGCCGCGGUAAUAC